UUUUAAAAAGCAGCUAUAACUGCUUCAACUAAUAUAUCUCCAAAAAUAAUUCCCUAAUAUUAUCUAUAAUACCUAGCCCAUAUUCAGUUAACCCCGGUUAUUUAUAAGAUGACUUUUAAGAAGUAUGUGAGUCAUUAUAUUUAGCUGUAUGGCUCUUAGUCUUUUCAUAUCUAAAAUAAGCCAACUUAAAUAUUUUAAAAAUCGCUCUUAAAAAUAUCAAAGAAAUGUAGCCAGCACA
rnacentral:lncRNA from 1 species